AGAUCAGCUAAUACUCAAUCUGAUGCGAUAUGCUUGCCUGUUCGGAGAGUCGAUGCUGGACGUUUUAACACAUGAAUAUUGUUUGUGUAAUGUAGUCAUAAUAUUUACGCAGGGACGCAAGAGGAGUGAGGUGGAAGCUCCUCCGAACUCUGAACACAGAAACUCGGACUGGGACUUGAGAUCGACUCCUGCAGGCACUUCUCCAUCGAAUGAUCGUGGAAUUGAAAAAAGACUCAAUCCCACACAGUGAGUUCGAGCCUGUUUGGUGCCCCACCCUGGAGUCCUGCACACCUCCCAGGGCCGGUCCAUCAUGGUCUGUCUAAUGCAGGCAAAGACAUCAAUAAUGAGAGCUGAAGCAGAAACCACAGCGGAGAACACAAAAGAGAGAGGGAGGGCACACACAGGCCACAAUUGGCUCUGCUGCAGGCUAGAGUGGGCAGGCAUGCGGCUUUGGCCACAGGAAGCUGUGAAUUCUUUGGAGAAUGGAAGAUGUCUUAUGGAGAGACAUACUGGCCCCCCACCCACCCACUCACCACCUCAAAAUGACCCCUGACCCUUUUCAUGUGUUUAUAUCAGACCAUGGAAGUGAGAAAUAGUGAUGAGUCACUCUGGCUGUGUGUUUACACUCUGGAGUCACGCAAGGAAGGAAAUCAGCCACGGUCUGCUAAAAGUGGCGAGGUGAGAGAGAAUAGCUGCAGUCCCGAGUGCUGCAGUGAUUUACCUCAGAGCCAGAAUUUGCUUCGUGUCAUCUCUGCUGUGAAAACUUUCAACCUGCAGAAAAGCACAGUAGAUCUUUGUGGAGGAAAAGGGCCAAAACAAGUAGUAGCCACUGGGGAUAGGUGUGCGUAUGAGAGAGAGAUACGGAAUAUUUCAGGAAACAUAACAGUUAGAAUAAGUAAAAUAAUUAUUUCAGCAGAAUGCAUGUCAUCCAGAUGUUACAGAGUUCUUAAUAUGUUGGACUUUUGUGUUUUGUUAGUGAUGACCACGUUUAAUUGCACUUUAAUCAUUCUCACACCUCACUGUAUUUAAAUGGAAACCUACACUUGCACACAUUCACUUUGUCUUUAAGUAGAGCUGUUUUUUAAACUCAUCACUGCACAUUUAACUGUGUUAUUCAUCUUUCACAAAUAUAUAUUUUUAGGAGUAUUAAAUAACUAACUAAAACUGCUAUUACACUUUCACCUGGCAUUGUUUCGAACCAGGGGUUUAUGUGUGCAGUUGAUGAUUUUCAAAAAAAACAAAACAAAACAGCAAACAUUUGAAAACCCUUAAUUACUUUGCAGCAUAUUUUAACAUUUUACUUGUAUAUUUCAAAUGAUCUCACCCUCCUAAUUGUCUCCAGGUUGGACAAUAUUAAAAAAAUAUAUAAGAUUAUUAAAAUACUUGAUGUAUAAAUGUGAUUUUUUAUUUUUAAAAGCAAAGCAGAUUACAUGAAAGCAAGAAAGAGUCCAUUCUAAUGACUAC